AACGCGAAGAACCUUACCUACUCUUGACAUCCAGAGAAUUCGCUAGAGAUAGCUUAGUGCCUUCGGGAACUCUGAGACAGGUGCUGCAUGGCUGUCGUCAGCUCGUGUUGUGAAAUGUUGGGUUAAGUCCCGCAACGAGCGCAACCCUUAUCCUUUGUUGCCAGCGAGUAAUGUCGGGAACUCAAAGGAGACUGCCGGUGAUAAACCGGAGGAAGGUGGGGAUGACGUCAAGUCAUCAUGGCCCUUACGAGUAGGGCUACACACGUGCUACAAUGGCAUAUACAAAGAGAAGCGAACUCGCGAGAGCAAGCGGACCUCAUAAAGUAUGUCGUAGUCCGGAUUGGAGUCUGCAACUCGACUCCAUGAAGUCGGAAUCGCUAGUAAUCGUAGAUCAGAAUGCUACGGUGAAUACGUUCCCGGGCCUUGUA
rnacentral:rRNA from 1 species